rnacentral:lncRNA from 1 species
CGUGUGGUCUAGCGGGACGGCUUUAGUGCAGGCGAUUUGGUGUCACGAUAUCUCAGUAGCAUGGGUUCGAAUCCCGGCGAGGGAAGAACAAAAAAUUUGCAAAAGCAAAUUUACAGAUCUAACAUUGUUGGGUUGAUGUUUAGACGAGUUAUAUAUAUAUAUAUCUCAGUAGCAUGGGUUCGAAUCCCGACGAAGGAAGAACAAACAAUAUGCAAAAGCAAAUUUACAGAUCUAACAUUGUUGGGUUGAUGUUUAGACGAGUUGUAUAUACAUAAUGUACACAGCCAUGUAUCAUCAUCACUGCUGGUGAUCCGAUGGAUAAAUCUGUUGUAGAGUUGUCACUGGCUCAGACGUACUUAUAAAUAUAAUUAUUUUCUGUGACUGUAUCUUACAUUAAUUUGUAGGAUC